AUAGAAUCAUAGAGUAUCCCCAGCUUGAAAGGAUCCAACAAUCCAACAAAGGUCAUCGAGUCCAUCUCCCUUGAAGCCCCGGACAUUUCAAAGAGAGAUCAAUUGCAGUAUCAACAGGUCUCAGGAACGCUUUCAAGUAGAAAACACCACAGGGUACAUUAAGAUCAGAUCUGGCAGAGAUAGCUGGAGAAGCUUAGCUGCAAACCUCAAGCACAGACUCACCCCAUGACCGGAACAGACUUUUCCAUUUGAACCAAUGGGGCAGCUACUUAUGUUCAAGGAUUGAAUUGGCAGGCACUUUUUGUCCAGACACAUCAUUUGAGGACCACAUGGAGCUCCAUCCUCUACAUAACCUAAAUCUGUAUCAUCAUCUAAGAGAACAUGAGCGCCACUAGGAGAAAUAAGUUUUAAGCCAUUGAUACUCCUAUGCUCCUGUGGAAACGCCAAGAUCUGCUAUUCUGAACCUGAAAUUCAGUUCUCCAUCGAACAGCCCUGGUUAUUUGACCUGCAGCUGGUCGGGUCUAUGGUUUUUAAGCUAGCAGUGUUUUUACACAACACAUUUGAAUGCCGAUGAUUAAUUUAACCUCCUAACUCAAGACAUUGCUGAGGUCAUCGCAAAAUAAGUGCUAAACUGGAGAUUUUGACAUUGGUUACACUCAAAUAUUG
rnacentral:lncRNA from 1 species